rnacentral:miRNA from 1 species
CAAAAUGCUCAUAGUGCAUGUAG